CCUGCAUAGCCAGUGAGCCAGGCUUAAGCUAUGCAAAAAGGCUAGUCCGGCCUGCAUAGCUGGAAACGAAAACCAGUCCCGUUUCCGCUUAUGCAGCCUAGCUAGUGCCCCGCGGAGUCGAGUUUGUCGUUCCACACCUUCGGCGUGCUACUCUGCCUCACCUACCUCCUCACGCCAUGCUCGAGAAGGGGAUGUGCAGGGGAGGGAACAAAGAGGCGGCGCUACUGAGGCAUGCCAAGUUCGGCGCCCCCGACGAGGGGAGGUGCUGGAGUCCAGCAAUGCGGCGGUCCUGCGGCACACGGCGGCCAGAGACAAGGCGGCGGCUCGGGCUCUCCUUCUCUUCCGCAAGCUGCUGGAGGAUCGCAGCACGUGGUGCGUGAAGGCGCGGCGCUUUUGCUCGUCGAUUUCGCCGCCGUUGGCUCUGCCCACUCUGUCGAGGUGCUCGUCCUCCUCCCCCAUCGAGGCUUCAGCCACCGCAGACCAUAGGAAAUAGCUGUGGCUGACCUUGAUUGUUUCUCCGUUCACCAAAUCCAGCAUUUCAGUACACAAAUCAAGCCUCCACAGCACCAAAUCUAGCUCCCAAGAGUCCAAAUUGAGCUCCUACCCUCGAAUCGAAGCUAGACAAUGUCUAAAUUGAGUUCAUCACGAACAUGAGAGGAGGCGGAGGAGCAUUAGGAUAACACAUGGAUGGUUCUGGUGCGUGGCCUCGGAGUAGUUGUGGCCUAGGAGCAGCAUGCGGAGCAUUCGGAUAGCGCUACACCCUCCGUAUUGAAGCUGGCCGGUGAUGGAGUAAUUAAUCUUCUUCUCCUUGAUUAUAUAUGCAAUUUUUCUUUCUUGGGAGAAGACCGAACCUACACUCCUCUCCUAUGGUGAGAGAUGGAGUUAAACUCACCCUACCAAAGAUAAGGUGACUAUAUCCAAGCAAAGUAGGCAAACGAACACGAUCAAACCAAUGCAGGCCUAGCGGCAAACCAAUCACGAGCCAAAAUGACUCUAUAAGAGCAACUCCAACAGAGUUGCCAUCCAACUCCCCGAGCUAAAAUUGUAGUAACUCAACAUUAAAAUCACUUACUAUCUCAAUUAUUAUCCUAUCCGGCUAGCCAAAUUGACCCUCCCGCUUGCCAAACUUGGCAAGCCAAUCCCGCUGGCCAAACUGGCUUGCCAAGUGUGGGCCCCACGCGCCUGCCAUCCCGCGAUGGUGGCGCGGGCGCGGGAAGCCUGAGAAGAGGGAGAGGCGGCGGCGGGCGUGGGUGCAGAGGCUGGAUGACGGCGACGAUGGUGGCGCGGGCGCGGGGGAGCCGGAGAAGACGCGCCGCCAAGGGAGCCGGAGAAGAGGGAUGGUGACAGGCGCUGGGAGGGAGAGGGAGCCGGAGAAGAAGGGAAGAAAUGAAUGGAUGAGGAAAAGAUAGAGAAUGAGAAGAAAAGAGAGGGAAGAAAUAAUGGAAAGAAAAGAAAAGGAAAUGGAAUAGGGAGUGGAGGCAACUGGCUGUUGGAAUUUGGAGAGUGAGAAAUGGAUAGUCUGUUGAAACGAGCAACUUAAUAUGAAGAGGAAUCUUUUUGCCAAUUGAAAUAGAGAAUCGAAAAUGGAUAGUCCAUUGGAAAUGCACUAAGCCAGGCUUGAGCUGGCUAUGGGCUACUCUUAGCCAGGCUCCAAUCACAGCCUAAUUGAUCAGAUCAGGCAUGCUCGUGUCAAUUAAUUUAUGCACAAGAAGCCCACAAAAAGCGGCAAGCGGCCCAUGUUCACUGUGCCCGCGGGCCGCCGCGGCGGCCUCCUCUCUAACCGAACUCGGAAGGAACCGAACCGAACCGAACCCACCCCCACCAACCACUCGCGUGCGUCGCCUCGCCUCGCCCUGGCCUCCCCGGCUCUCCGACGACAUCCCUGUUCCUCCUCCGUCGCCGGCAACGCCCCUCCCGCCCCGGUCUACGAAUCCCCCCCCCCCCGACCCCCCCCGGUGGGCUCGCUUGUCAGAUUGAAGCUUUGAAGCAUGUUGGUGUGACAGAAAUUGUUCCAACCAUCAAUUACCAUCCAGAGGAUAUGCACAACUUACUGAAGGAUUCUGAGGAGGAUCUUGCGUGAAAAUCUUAGUCACAGUCACAAUAGACAGAGCCCCUAGCUUAGGGACUGCUGAUCAUAAGCUUGUGGAUGGAUCUGGUGAACCCUUUUUCGUCCUAAACUGUGAUAACAUAAGUGAAUACCCUUUUGCUGAGCUCGUAAGAUUUCAGAAGACCCAUAGUGGUGAGACUAGAAUUAUGGUCACGAAGGAUCGGUGAGGGGUGCCUGAUCUGAUCGGCCCCGACGUGGCCAUCGGAGCAGGGUGCGUGGUGGAGGACGGGGGUUGCAAUCUGCGAGUAUAUUCGCUCCGAUUGCAAAUGGAAGUUGUUUAAGACAUUUAUAGCACAAGAACAACUUGAUAUACUCCUAGAAAAAUCUGUUUAAACAGCAACAUAAUCCAGCGAUGCACACCCUGGUCCACAACAACUGUCCUCCCAAGUCCCAGUGCUCCAGAUAAGCUUGCAAGCACAGGCUCUCAAUCUCACGCCACGCCAUUAAACCGAACUACCCCACCCAAAAAAACAGAGAAAGAAUUGCAAGACAAUGUCCUUUCUUUUUUCUUCAGGCGGAGGCAUCAUCAGCAACCUUGCUUCCCUCGGCACUUGGGGCAGCAGCAUCAGCAGCAGGAGGAGGAACAACAACUUGGACCGAGUCAGGAUCGACGCGCUUCUCUUCUUCGUCCUCCGCCUGCACGUCGCCAUGCGGAUCGUCCUUCAGCUCGCCGGCCGCGUCGUCCUGCUGCUCGGUUGCGGCUGAGGCCUGGACUGGUGCUUGUGCUACCGUCGUUGCUCCGGCGUCGUCGCCCUCUGGUUCCACAGCCACAACCUUCCCUGCCUCCUGAUCAGCCUCUCCAUCGCUAGUCGCUGCAUCCUGAGACAGCAAGUGCAGCGAUUGGUUACUGUGUUAAUCCUUUGCUGCUUAGCUGUUUUUUUUUUCCAUUGUCAUUUCAAAGAAGCAUAGAUAGCUGAAGCUUGGCAGCACUCAAGCACUGAGACCCUCUUUGGCACGGUUUAUUUCAGCUUUGGCUUCAUCUAUUUCACGCAAAUCGAGACACUGUAGCGUGAAGCCGUUUUGUAAGCUGGGACUAAAAUGAACUAUAAGUCGGAUGAAGCUAGUUUUUUUUGGCUUCACCGGUUUUGGCUUCACC